ACAUCGGAGGUCUUUGGACGCAAGUUGCGCCCGAUGCCAUUAGGUUGAGGGCACGUCUGCCUGGGUGUCACAUAUCGAAACCCCCUGCCAAUUUCCCUUUGAUUAUUGUGCAGGGUGGAUGUUGGCCUCCCGUGAGCUCUUUUGUCUCAUGGUUGGUUGAAAAUUGAGACCUUGGUAGGGUGUGCCAUGAUAGAUGGUGGUUGUGUGACCCACGAGACCAAUCAUGCGCUGCUCUAUUGAAUUUUGGCCUCUUUUACCCAUAUGCGUUUCUAAACGCUCGUGAUGAGACCUCAGGUCAGGCGGGGCUACCCGCUGAAUUUAAGCAUAUCAAUAAGCGGAGGAAAAGAAACUAACAAGGAUUCCCUUAGUAACGGCGAGCGAACCGGGAUAAGCCCACCAUGAGAAUCGGUCGCCCUCGGCGUUCGAAUUGUAUCGAAAAAAAACCUUCAAAUAAUU
rnacentral:rRNA from 1 species